CCAACUAUCAAGUUCAUAAUGUAUUGAGCCGAACUGAUGUGGAACUAGAUCAAUUUGCAGGUUCCAUUGGAACUUAGUGCAAACCGACCCAAAGCACUCUGAAACAAGUAUAACUGCUCAGUUUCAAGCAGUUCCACUCGAUUUGGCUCAUCGAACAAACUAGAGUUUAUAAAAACCCUUCUAGUUCCCUAUUUAAUCCGCAAUCACCAACUUCUUGCUCACUUGCUCUAGA
rnacentral:lncRNA from 1 species